CAUGCAGGCGGUUCUGCGCGUUUCGCGUGACAGCUUCGGGCUUAACCGGAAGAGAGUGCGAAAGACGGCGGGACUUGAGGGCCAGAGAGGGACACGGAAUUCCGGGUGGAGUGGUGAAAUGCGUAGAGAUCCGGAGGAACACCGAAGGCGAAGGCAGUGUCCUGGCUGGUGACUGACGCUGAGGUGCGAAAGCCAGGGGAGCGGAACGGGAUUAGACUACCCCGGUAGUCCUGGCCGUAAACGAUGACCACCAGGUGUGCGGAGUAUCGACCCUCUGCGCGCCGGAGUUAACACACUAAGUGGUCCGCCUGGGGAGUACGGUCGCAAGAUUAAA
rnacentral:rRNA from 1 species